CCUGCAGCAUAUGGAAGUUCCCAGGCUAGGCAUCAAAUCAUACCUAUAGCUGCCAGCCUAUGCCACAGUCAUAGCAACACCAUAUCAGAGCCAAGUCUGUGACCUACACCGCAGCUCAUGGCAAUGCCAGCUCCUUAAUCCACUGAGGGAGGCCAGGGAUUGAACCCAUAUCCUCACGGAUACAAUGUUGGGUCCUUAACCUGCUAAGCCACAAGGAGAACUCCCAUUUUUUAAUUUUUUUUUAAAUUUUGUGGGGAAUUAUUUUAAAUAGAGAGGUCAAGGAAGCCUUUCUGGGGAGAGGGGGACAUUUGACUGAGCCCUAAACCUUGAGGGGAGGAAGUCACACAAAGACUUUGGGAAAGAGAAUUUUAAAAAGAGGAAAACAAAGUGUGAGAGACUUGUAUUUGCCAGGUUAUGGUUAUGGCUAUAGCAAACCACCCCCAAAUCUCAGUGGUAUAAGAGAGUAAAAGUCUAAUUCUCACCUAAACUAGACUGCAUUCCAACACAGGCCCUGAGAGAGAGGACAUGCACCAUUCCACACAGUUACUGAGGGGCAGACUCCUUCCCACACAUGGACUCAUCAUCUGUUAAGCCCUAAUCCUCCUCUGUAUUCAAGUCAUAGAUGGAAAAAGAGAACACAAGCCUGCCUGCACCUGGAUGGUGUCAUGGACCAGAAUCAGAAAGGAUUGUUUCGGCCCACAUUCUAUUGUUUACAACUCAGACACCCAACUGUGAGGAGGCAAGAAAACGUGUGUGUCCAGGAAUAAAAGGGAAAUGGUUUGGUAAACAACUAAUGAGUUUUGCCAUAGGCCCCAAGACUGAAAUAAUCUUGGUGUUUGCAGAGGUCUGGAAAGGAAAAUGGAUUUUAGUCUAAUUGGCAAUCAGGUGCUGACCACAUACGAUUUUCAUUUGGGAAAAAAAUUUUCUCUGGCUGCUGUGUAGAGAGUAGGUUGGAAAGGAGUAAAUCAUGGAAGCAGAAGAAUGGCUUAAGAAGUGUUUGCAUUGGUUCCAGGGAAAGCACUGUGUGGAGGCUUUGGCAGUGGAGAUGGUGAGAAGUGGUCAGACUCAGAAAACGUUUUGAAGGUAUCACAGACAAGACUUGCCUAUGGAUUGAAGGUGGGGUUUGAAGGAAUCAAGGAUAACACCUUAGUUUUGAGUCUGAAUCCAGAAGAAGAUGUGACAUUUCCUUAGAUGAGAAAGUCUAGGAGAGAGGCAGUUUCAGGGUGGAGCAAGAGAAUUAGGGUCCAUGUUGGCUAUGAUCAAUGUGAAGAGUGGAGGACACCCACAAGCUGAGGUCCCAGGAAAGAAUUAAAUAUGUGAAACAGGUGCUUAGGAGAGAAGUCAGCUCAUUUGGGAGUCACCGAGGUGAAGACAUUAUUUAAAGCCAUGGAAUGGGAUGGGGGUAUUAGGUCAGGAGCAGGGAUAGCAUCUGUGGGGGUAAAGAAGGUCAAGGGCUGACAGACUGGGGGAAGGAGAUAUAAGGUCACUCUUAUUCCAACCAUUAUUUUCAAUGAAAAAUUGAUAUAUUUAUCAUCUGAGAGGCUUGUAGAAAUGGGGCAGGAGUGUCUAUAGAGAAAAGUGUAAAAUCAUACACUGAUCAAAGGGGCUAUAUCAGGGAAGUGGGGCGGACCAUCUGGCAGAGCCUGGUGCCCAUUGGAGAUGUGUGUCCAAUGAUACAUGACCAGCCAACCUGUUGGGAGAUUUUCUACAGCAGUGCUCAGCUGCUUGGAUGCAGGCACAGAGGAGGAGGAUUUGGAUUUUUACCACCAGGGCUUAAUCAGAUGAAUUUAAUAGGGGCAGCAGGCAAACAAGGAUGAGUGCACAGUAAUUAGGACAUUUGGCCUCAUCAGGAAGAGAGGUCUGGCCCUUGUUUUGGUAUCUGGGAGGUAACCUCAAAACCCUUGGCAUUUCCUCAUUAAUAGGAAUGUGUUUUGUUAUUCAAAGUGGGCCCCUCAAACCACACCUAAGAGUUGAUAGAAAGAAGGUAGCUCACAGCGGGACUGGUCACAUCUGAUAGUGUUGGACAGGGGUCUGGCCCCUGCAGAACAAACCAAGUGUGUUUUUAAAAAGCAAGGGCUUUGGGCCAUAUGGCAUCAGUUGACCUUGAGGCAGAGUUUAACCACCUGGACAAUCAAUCAAUCAAUCAUUUCUACAUAAUGGAGCUCCAUUAAAAACUCUCAACACCAAAGCUUGGAUGAGCUCUCUGAGUUGGUAAAUACUCCGUGGGUAUUGUCCCAUAUCAAUGCUGGAGGCAAGUGGGUAACUCACCCUAACAAUGGAAACUCUUGUGUUUGGAAACCAACCAGAUUCUACCCAAUGAGUCUCUUCCUGCAGCUGAUUUUAAUUAUCCUUUCCUUGUAGCCAGCAUAAUUCUGAGCAUAAUAGCCUUCAGUGAGUUCUGUGAAUCUUUCUAGCAUAUUUUCAAACCUGAGGGUGGUUUUGGAAACCCCUCUGUUACAGGUUGCACUGUGUCUUCCUCAAAUUCAUAUGUCAAAGUCCUCACUCUCAGGAUCUCAAAAAUGUGAGCUUAUUUGGAAAACAUGUCAUUGAAGAUGUAAUUCAUGACAUUAAGAUAAAGUCACACUAGAGUAGGCUGGGCCUCUAAUCCAAUAUGACCACUGUCGUUAUAAUGAGGGGAAAUGUGGACACAGACACACACAGGCAUUGGUGACAGAACUUUGGGGCAGACUUGGUAGUGUGGAGCAUGAGGCCCUUAUCCUCACAAUUUGGCUGACUCCAGUGAAGUGUCUAGGCUAGAUACAGAAGGGUAUGAUGAAAUGUGGAAAGGCAGCUAGUGAGAAAAUAGUAAGAACAAGAGAUUGAAGGUCCCUGUGUGGUUCAAGAAUUAUUGUACUUGGGAUACUAAAGAGGGUGAGAUGGAAAGGCAGAGCUGGUGAUCAGAGGGUGAUGAUACAAUCGCAAUCUUACAAUAGAGAUUUUGGAGGUGGUGCAGUUAUUGGCUAUUACGAAGUCCAAUGUGAAACCAAGGAAAAGUGAGGCUGAAGUGGAGGAGAGGAAAUCACCCUGAGAGGUAUGGAAGUAAAGGAACUAAGAGGGCCAGAUAUUGGACCAUGAUCAUCUUCACAGAUGGUAAAGUCCCCAGUAAUGAUGACAGGAAUAGCAGGGAAGAAGGCAGACAUCACAUUCUUUAAUGGAUAAGAGGGAACAUUUCCACUGUUCACAGGUGAAAUCUAAAGGAAAUGAUAUCAGGUGGUAUUGGGUCUGACAUAGGCUUUAGUAGAAGCUGAGAGAUGUCCAAAGGGUUAACAAUGGCUUGAAAGCGUCAGGGAGGAGGGAUCAAGGAUGAUACUCACCCACCUCCAAUUCUUAGUAUAAGGGAGGCCCUGACUUGUACUCAAUCAUGGAUUCAUCCAACUGAGCAGAUACCCUAAAGAUUAGGGUUCACCAAAGGGUUAUUUUCCAAAGAGUCAGUGUCUUUCCUAAGCAUAAAAGUUAUGUGAUGACUCCAGACAUCCAAGACUUGAAAUAGAGAAAACAGAGCACACUUUACAUAGGUAGCAAGUUGAAGAGCUUGGAUUUGAACUCUGUCUUCUGUGGCUCCAGACAUAACACCUUUAAAACAGAAAUAUAUGCAGCCCUUCCCUGGGGAGGACUAUACUUCCCCAUCACCUUGACAUUAGGCUUUGGCCAAUAAGAUGUGAGCAGAAGCAGUGUGCAUCACUUCUCCACAUUAAUUUCAGGUCCAGUGUGUGAUUACUGUGUUCUCUUUUCCCUCUGCCAUAAGACCAGCAAUGUUCUGGAGGAAGGCAGCUCCAUCCAGAGAUCUCAGAGGAGGACCAUCUGCAGCAGAGACUCAAUCAAUUUUCAACAACAUGCAACAUGAAGGAAAAAUAAAAUAAAUGUCAUUGAAAACAUCAGACUUUGGAAUCACUUGUUAUUGCUGCAUAGCCUAUCUUAACCUAACUGAUACAGGGAGAAACCUUGGAUUACCUGAGGUUCCAAGUUUGGGUACCUGGGUAAGCAGCAGUACCACUCACUAAGCCAGAAGAUACAGGGGGAGGCAGCAAUCUGCCCCAUCAUGCUGUUUCUUCAGCUUGAGCUUCCUAAUAAUUAUUUCCAACUUUUCUCCACAUUCUGUGAAUGAGCUUUGCAGUAAUAACUCUCCACACAAGAAACAGCCCACAGUUGGGGACCCCGCCAUUCUACCCCAGUAGAAUUCUCCUUCCAGCUUUGCAGGGGAUGAGGGGAAGUGCAGGGGCAUCUGUACAUGUCCAGAGAUCACAAGAAAAUGUCUCACUGCUCUCCAAAAAAACUUUCACUGUAUCUACACAACAAAAAAGGGACUUUCUAGUAGAUCGACAACAUAAGAAGAAUAUUCCCAUGGCUGGGAACAAGUCAUUUUAAGUCAUGUAUUAUAUAGACAACAGCUCCUGACAACUUCCCCUGUUUCUAUUAUACUUUACUAAGUUAUUCCUGCUCAAACAGCCGUAAAAAAUAAUGUGAGUAGAAGAAAGCCUCAUUUCACUGAGAAUUAUAUCCUCCUCCUCAAGUUUUUCCCAGCAACCAUUUUCAUGUAUCCUGCAGGCAAGAGUUUACUGUGAUAAUGGCCCAGAAAGUAGAACCCUCACACAUUUGUAACAUCACCCCACAUUCUUCCUGAGCACGACUGAUAGGGUCCUUCAUUACACUUAUCUCCUGAAGACACAGAGGAGGCGCCUGGUAGUCACAAGUCUAUUUGUCCAGUCUUUGCUCCUGUCAGCCUUCCUCUAUUUUGUUUCUUUAUCAAGUCCACCUGCUGGAGGACUUGAACCUUCAAGCCCAGCAUGCAGUGGUGAAUAUUACAUUAUUGUUCCCUUUUACAGAUGGAGCUGCCACACAGAUGUUGCGACAGGAGGCCAGGGAAGGGACCGCUCUCACAAUGCUUACCACAGCCUCCUCAGGAGUAAGCACUGAGAUAAGUUCAGUUUAGACUUUGAUCGUCACUACCCUGUAUGACAGUCAUCGUCCCUAAGUGGUCCCCAGUCUCAUGCUAUCCAAUUGACCCAUCACCCACUAUGCUGCAAGAGAGAGCUUUCUAAAAUGCAAAGCAGAUCACACCUCUAUCCUGCUCAGAAUCUUCAGCAUAUCCCCAUGAGGGAGCAAGUUAAGUACCCAUUCUUUAGCACUCAGACAAAGCCCCUCACCAUCUCUCCUCAGGCUACUUAUCUAGAUUUUUCCUUCUGCAUGCUGCUCUCUUUGCAAAGACUUUAGAACUUCUCUACCAGGAGAACUCUCUUUGUCUAGUUCAAUCCAAACCCUUCUCUGGAAGUUAUCUUCGUGUGCCUCAUCCCACUCCAUCCCAUCUCCAUCCCAACCUCAGUGGGUUAAAGGAUUUCCUCACCAUGGCUCUAUUACCACAUCACAGUUAGAAUCUCACUACUUCUUUAUAUGGUGGUGUUUCCAUCCUGUUUUUAUAUUCACAAUAAAAGAAACCAUCUUACUCUAGCACCAGUGUCAUGUCCAACAUAUAAGAAGGCUUCAUUUCUGUUUACAACCAUCUAUCAUGUGAAGUGGUAUGAAUCAAAGGUAAGAGAGGCCCAGUCCUUGCCAUAGAGGAGCAGACAAAAUUGUAGGGCAAACAUGCGCAUUCACAGAUAAUUAGACUAUAUAAUAAAUAAAGCUAUGUCACAAGAGGACCAUACCUCUUUCUUAAAGGUAUAAGGGUGAAUGAACCAGAGAACACAGGAGGAAUUAUGACCUCAUUACUGUCUUGAUUUGGAUAUUAAAUAGUUUAAAGAGGUGAAGAUGGGUGCCUAGUUGACACAAGUUGGGCUUGUGAUGGUUAAUUUUGUGGCAACUUGACGGGGCCAGAGUGCCAAGAUAUUUGAUCAAACAUCAUUUUAGAUUUUCUUUUGCAGUGUUUUUAGAUGAGAUUAACAUUUAAAUUGGGAGACUAAAUAAAGCAGAUUGCCUGCCCUCAUGUGGGUAGGCCUCAUCCAGUCAGCUAAAGACCUGAAUAGAAAAAAAAAAAAGAUUGACGCUCCCUCAAGAAAGAGAGAAUUCUUUCCUGCCUGUCUCUGAACUGGGACAUUGGCUUUUUUUUCCUAGCUUUGGAUUCAAAUGGAAACACUGGUUUUUCCUGGAUCUUCGGCUAAUAGCCUUCAGACCAGAAUUACACUAUUGGCUUUCCUGGUUCUUAGGCCUUUGGAUUCAGACUAGAACUAAACAAUCACCUCUCCUGGGUUUCCAAGCUCACCACUCACCCUGAAGGUCUUGGGAUUUUUCCCUCUUCCAUAAUUGCAUGAGCAAGUUCUUUGCAAUAAAAACCUUUAUG
rnacentral:lncRNA from 1 species